rnacentral:rRNA from 1 species
CGGGCACUUUCGGGUGUCAGCGGCGGGAGGGUGAGUAACGCGUGGGAACGUGCCUUCUGGUUCGGAAUAACUCAGGGAAACUUGAGCUAAUACCGGAUACGCCCUUUUGGGGAAAGGUUUACUGCCGGAAGAUCGGCCCGCGUCUGAUUAGCUAGUUGGUGGGGUAAUGGCCUACCAAGGCGACGAUCAGUAGCUGGUCUGAGAGGAUGAUCAGCCACACUGGGACUGAGACACGGCCCAG